rnacentral:rRNA from 1 species
GAAUAUUGGGCAAUGGGCGCGAGCCUGACCCAGCCAUGCCGCGUGCAGGAAGAAGGCCUUCUGGGUUGUAAACUGCUUUUAUCGAGGAAGAAAACGCCCCUGCGGGGGUAACUGACGGUACUAGAUGAAUAAGCACCGGCUAACUCCGUGCCAGCAGCCGCGGUAAUACGGAGGGUGCAAGCGUUGUCCGGAUGUAUUGGGUUUAAAGGGUGCGUAGGCGGCCAAUUAAGUCAGGGGUGAAAUCCCGGGGCUCAACCCCGGAACUGCCUUUGAUACUGGUUGGCUUGAGUUCGGUAGAGGCGGGCGGAACUGGUGGUGUAGCGGUGAAAUGCAUAGAUACCACCAAGAACCCCGAUUGCGAAGGCAGCUCGCUGUGCCGAAACUGACGCUGAGGCACGAAAGCGUGGGGAGCGAACAGG